ACGGCUCAGUAACACGUGGAUAACCUGCCCUUGGGACCGGGAUAACCCCGGGAAACUGGGGAUAAACCCGGAUAGGUGAUGCUGCCUGGAAUGGUUCUUCACCGAAACACCUUCGGGUGCCCAAGGAUGGGUCUGCGGCCGAUUAGGUUGUUGGUAGGGUAACGGCCUACCAAGCCGAUCAUCGGUACGGGUUGUGAGAGCAAGAGCCCGGAGAUGGAACCUGAGACAAGGUUCCAGGCCCUACGGGGCGCAGCUGGCGCGAAACCUCCGCAAUGCACGCAAGUGCGACGGGGGAACCCCAAGUGCCACUCUUAACGGGGUGGCUUUUCAGAAGUGUAAAAAGCUUCUGGAAUAAGGGCUGGGCAAGACCGGUGCCAGCCGCCGCGGUAACACCGGCAGCUCAAGUGGUAGCCGCUUUUAUUGGGCCUAAAGCGUCCGUAGCCGGUCUGAUAAGUCUCUGGUGAAAUCCCACAGCUUAACUGUGGGAAUUGCUGGAGAUACUAUCAUGACUCGAGGUCGGGAGAGGCCGGAGGUACUCCCAGGGUAGGGGUGAAAUCCUGUAAUCCUGGGAGGACCACCUGUGGCGAAGGCGUCCAGCUGGAACGAACCUGACGGUGAGGGACGAAAGCCAGGGGCGCGAACCGGAUUAGAUACCCGGGUAGUCCUGGCCGUAAACGAUGUGGACUUGGUGUUGGGAUGGCUUCGAGCUGCCCCAGUGCCGAAGGGAAGCUGUUAAGUCCACCGCCUGGGAAGUACGGCCGCAAGGCUGAACUUAAAGGAAUUGGCGGGGGAG
rnacentral:rRNA from 1 species